GUCCCCCACACUGGUACUGAGACACGGACCAGACUCCUACGGGAGGCAGCAGUGAGGAAUAUUGGUCAAUGGACGCGAGUCUGAACCAGCCAAGUCGCGUGAAGGAUGACUGCCCUAUGGGUUGUAAACUUCUUUUAUAGGGGAAUAAGAAAAGUUACGUGUAACUUAGUGCAUGUACCCUAUGAAUAAGCAUCGGCUAACUCCGUGCCAGCAGCCGCGGUAAUACGGAGGAUGCGAGCGUUAUCCGGAUUUAUUGGGUUUAAAGGGUGCGUAGGUGGCUGUUUAAGUCCGCGGUGAAAGUUUGUGGCUCAACCAUAAAAUUGCCGUUGAAACUGGAUAGCUUGAGUAUGUUUGAAGUAGGCGGAAUGCGUGGUGUAGCGGUGAAAUGCAUAGAUAUCACGCAGAACUCCGAUUGCGAAGGCAGCUUACUAAACCAUAACUGACACUGAAGCACGAAAGCGUGGGUAUCAAACAGGAUUAGAUACCCUGGUAGUCCACGCUGUAAACGAUGAUUACUAGUAGUUUGCGAUACACAGUAAGCGACACAGCGAAAGCGUUAAGUAAUCCACCUGGGGAGUACGCCGGCAACGGUGAAACUCAAAGGAAUUGACGGGGGCCCGCACAAGCGGAGGAACAUGUGGUUUAAUUCGAUGAUACGCGAGGAACCUUACCCGGGUUUGAACGCAUUUCGACAGGAAGGGAAACCUUUUUUCUAGCAAUAGCGAUUUGCGAGGUGCUGCAUGGUUGUCGUCAGCUCGUGCCGUGAGGUGUCGGCUUAAGUGCCAUAACGAGCGCAACCCUUAUCGAUAGUUACCAUCAGGUUAAGCUGGGGACUCUAUCGAGACUGCCAGCGUAAGCUGUGAGGAAGGUGGGGAUGACGUCAAAUCAGCACGGCCCUUACAUCCGGGGCGACACACGUGUUACAAUGGAUGGGACAGAGGGCAGCUACCUGGUGACAGGAUGCCAAUCCCUUAAACCCAUUCUCAGUUCGGAUCGGAGUCUGCAACUCGACUCCGUGAAGCUGGAUUCGCUAGUAAUCGCGCAUCAGCCAUGGCGCGGUGAAUACGUUCCCGGGCCUUGUACACACCGCCCGUCAAGCCAUGGGAGUUGGGGGUACCUAAAGUCCGUAACCGCAAGGAUCGGCCUAGGGUAAAACCAAUGACUGGGGCUAAGUCGAAACAAGGUAGCCGUACCGGAAGGUGCGGCUG
rnacentral:rRNA from 1 species